rnacentral:rRNA from 1 species
UAGCCAUAUGCUUGUCUCAAAGAUUAAGCCAUGCAUGUCUAAGUAUAAGCAACUAUACGGUGAAACUGCGAAUGGCUCAUUAAAUCAGUUAUCGUUUAUUUGAUAGUACCUUACUACAUGGAUAACCGUGGUAAUUCUAGAGCUAAUACAUGCUAAAAACCCCGACUUCGGAAGGGGUGUAUUUAUUAGAUAAAAAACCAAUGCCCUUCGGGGCUCCUUGGUGAAUCAUAAUAACUUAACGAAUCGCAUGGCCUUGCGCCGGCGAUGGUUCAUUCAAAUUUCUGCCCUAUCAACUUUCGACGGCAGGAUAGUGGCCUACCAUGGUAUCAACGGGUAACGGGGAAUUAGGGUUCGACUCCGGAGAGGGAGCCUGAGAAACGGCUACCACAUCCAAGGAAGGCAGCAGGCGCGCAAAUUACCCAAUCCCGACACGGGGAGGUAGUGACAAUAAAUACUGAUACAGGGCUCUUUUGGGUCUUGUAAUUGGAAUGAGUACAAUUUAAAUCCCUUAACGAGGAACAAUU